rnacentral:rRNA from 1 species
CAGCCGCCGCGGUAAAACGAAGGGGGCUAGCGUUGUUCGGAAUUACUGGGCGUAAAGGGCGCGUAGGCGGCCAUUCAAGUUAGAUGUGAAAGCCCUGGGCUCAACCUAGGAAUUGCAUUUGAUACUGUUUGGCUUGAGUUCGGGAGAGGUGAGUGGAAUUCCCAGUGUAGAGGUGAAAUUCGUAGAUAUUGGGAAGAACACCAGUGGCGAAGGCGGCUCACUGGACCGACACUGACGCUGAGGCGCGAAAGCGUGGGGAGCAAACAGGAUUAGAUACCCCGGUAGUCCCUGUCUCUUAUAC